GACGAACGCUGGCGGCGUGCUUAACACAUGCAAGUCGUACGGUAAGGCCCUUUCGGGGGUACACGAGUGGCGAACGGGUGAGUAACACGUGAGUAACCUGCCCACAACUUUGGGAUAACGCUAGGAAACUGGUGCUAAUACUGGCUAUGUGCUCCUGCUGCAUGGUGGGGGUUGGAAAGCUCCGGCGGUUGUGGAUGGACUCGCGGCCUCUCAGCUUGUUGGUGGGGUAGUGGCCUACCAAGGCGGCGACGGGUAGCCGGCCUGAGAGGGUGACCGGCCACAGUGGGAAUGAGAUACGGCCCAGACUCCGACGGGAGGCAGCAGUGGGGAAGAUUGCACAAUGGGCGCAAGCCUGAUGCAGCAACGCCGCGUGCGGGAUGACGGCCUUCGGGUUGUAAACCGCUUUCAGCAGGGACGAAGCUUUUUGUGACGGUACCUGCAGAAGAAGCACCGGCUAACUACGUG
rnacentral:rRNA from 1 species